UACGUAGGGUGCGAGCGUUAAUCGGAAUUACUGGGCGUAAAGCGUGCGCAGGCGGUUUUGUAAGCCAGAUGUGAAAUCCCCGGGCUUAACCUGGGAAUGGCAUUUGGGACUGCAAGGCUGGAGUGCGGCAGAGGAGACUGGAAUUCCUGGUGUAGCAGUGAAAUGCGUAGAUAUCAGGAGGAAUACCGAUGGCGAAGGCAGGUCUCUGGGCUGACACUGACGCUGAGGAGCGAAAGCGUGGGGAGCGAACAGG
rnacentral:rRNA from 1 species